rnacentral:rRNA from 1 species
UACGUAGGGAGCAAGCGUUGUCCGGAAUCAUUGGGCGUAAAGGGCGCGUAGGCGGUCUGAUAAGUCAAAUGUGAAAAUCCAGGGCUUAACUCUGGAAGUGCGUUUGAAACUGUGAGACUAGAGUACAGGAGAGGAAAGUGGAAUUCCUGGUGUAGCGGUGAAAUGCGUAGAGAUCAGGAAGAACAUCGAUGGCGAAGGCAGCUUUCUGGCCUGAAACUGACGCUGAGGCGCGAAAGCGUGGGGAGCAAACAGGAUUAGAUACCCCCGUAGUCC